rnacentral:rRNA from 1 species
AACGGGUGAGUAACGCGUGAGGAACCUGCCUCAAAGAGGGGGACAACAGUUGGAAACGACUGCUAAUACCGCAUAAGCCCACGGUGCCGCAUGGCACAGAGGGAAAAGGAGCAAUCCGCUUUGAGAUGGCCUCGCGUCCGAUUAGCUGGUUGGUGAGGUAACGGCCCACCAAGGCAACGAUCGGUAGCCGGACUGAGAGGUUGAACGGCCACAUUGGGACUGAGACACGGCCCAGACUCCUACGGGAGGCAGCAUG